rnacentral:lncRNA from 1 species
GGAAGGUCAGCAGAUAAACAUGUGAACAAGCGUCUCUGCUUUUCCUAGGCAGAGGACCCUGCGGCCUUCCGCAGCGUUUGUGUCCCUGGGUACUUGAGAUUAGGGAGUGGUGAUGACUCUUAAUGAGAAUGCUGCCUUCAAGCAUCUGUUUAACAAAGCACGUCUUGCACCGCCCUUAAUCCAUUUAACCCUGAGUUGACACAGCACAUGUUUCAGAGAGCACGGGGUUGGGGGUAAGGUUA